ACACACACACCCACACGUUUGUCGGACAAGUCGCAAAUCCGAAAAGUAAACGGAACUAAAACCAUUUUGAGCUUUGUCAACAAGUCACAUUGGCAAGGCAAAGUGGAAAGCGACGGAUGGACGAAUGUGAGGGGGUCAGGUGCAGGGGCAGGUGUGAGGCACACUGCAAUCACAGCCAAACGAGUCAUUAACAUGUCAAUCAGAAAUAAAACCAAAAUAAAAAUAAAAGAGCAAAUAGAAAGAGGCAAAGAGUGAAAGAGGGAGAGAGGGAUAUAAAAGUAAAUUCAACGCUUUAUGCAAAUAAUAAACCGUACACUAUGAAUGGCAAUGCUGGAAAGGGACAGCGGGACCCAAAAGCAGCAAAAAAGCAAAGAAACUGAGAAAAAAAAUUAUAUGUGGAGAAAGAAACACAAUGUGUCCUACUUUUUGCCAUACGAAAACUGGAUGAAUGUUUCCCCUACGAAAACCGUAUGCUCCUUUAACACAGCAUCCAUGCUAAGAGAGAGAGAGAAAGAGAGAGAGACAGGCUGUGUGCGUGAGUGGGAUAGAGAGAUAGAGCAAUAAGGAGAGGCCUGGCCAGAGAUUCGGCGCACAGGGGCGGCUGCUGUAGAGUCAGCAGACAGCAGACAGCAGAGGGCUUAAACCGAGACGAGCCUUUUCAGUUGUAGUUGGAUAGUAAAGGGUCUUGGACGUGUUAUAUACAGCGUUCGCAAGCCAAACGACAACGCCAAGUGUAACGUCGCGAGAACGAAAUAAAAAUA